ACUCCUACGGGAGGCAGCAGUGGGGAAUAUUGCACAAUGGGCGCAAGCCUGAUGCAGCCAUGCCGCGUGUAUGAAGAAGGCCUUCGGGUUGUAAAGUACUUUCAGCAGUGAGGAAGGUGGAGUCGUUAAUAGCGGCCUCAUUUGACGUUAGCUGCAGAAGAAGCACCGGCUAACUCCGUGCACCAGGCCGCGGUAAUACGGAGGGUGCGANAGUUAAUCGGAAUUACUGGGCGUAAAGCGCAUGCAGGUGGUUUGUUAAGUCAGAUGUGAAAGCCCGGGGCUCAACCUCGGAAUAGC
rnacentral:rRNA from 1 species